GCAUAUCAAUAAGCGGAGGAAAAGAAACUAACAAGGAUUCCCCUAGUAACUGCGAGUGAAGCGGGAAAAGCUCAAAUUUAAAAUCUGGCGGUCUUUGGUCGUCCGAGUUGUAAUCUAGAGAAGUAAUGCCCGUGCUGGACCGUGUAUAAGUCUCCUGGGAUGGGGCGUCAUAGAGGGUGAGAAUCCCGUCUUUGACACGGACUACCAGUGCAUUGUGGUAUGCUCUCAAAGAGUCGAGUUGUUUGGGAAUGCAGCUCAAAAUGGGUGGUAAAUUCCAUCUAAAGCUAAAUAUUGGCGAGAGACCGAUAGCGAACAAGUACCGUGAGGGAAAGAUGAAAAGAACUUUGGAAAGAGAGUUAAACAGUACGUGAAAUUGCUGAAAGGGAAACGCUUGAAGUCAGUCGCGUUGGCCGGGGAUCAGCCUUGCUUUUGCAUGGUGUACUUUCUGGUUGACGGGUCAGCAUCAAUUUUGACCGCUGGAAAAGGGCCUGGGGAAUGUGGCAGCUUCGGCUGUGUUAUAGCCCCUGGUCACAUACGGCGGUUGGGAUUGAGGAACUCAGCACGCCGCAAGGCCGGGUUUCGACCACGUUCGUGCUUAGGAUGCUGGCAUAAUGGCUUUAAGCGACCCGUCUUGAAACACGGACCAAGGAGUCUAACAUGCCUGCGAGUAUUUGGGUGAAAAACCCGAGUGCGCAAUGAAAGUGAAAGUUGAGAUCCCUGUCGUGGGGGAGCAUCGACGCCCGGACCAGAACUUUUGGGACGGAUCCGCGGUGGAGCAUGUAUGUUGGGACCCGAAAGAUGGUGAACUAUGCCUGAAUAGGGUGAAGCCAGAGGAAACUCUGGUGGAGGCUCGUAGCGAUUCUGACGUGCAAAUCGAUCGUCAAAUUUGGGUAUAGGGGCGAAAGACUAAUCGAACCAUCUAGUAGCUGGUCUGC
rnacentral:rRNA from 1 species